rnacentral:lncRNA from 1 species
UGAACGUGACGCAGUGCGUUACGUACUUGCUAGUCACUAUCCAAAUAUGUGUGGCAUAGUGAAUAGUAUAGAUCGCUUCGAAUAGGUCGAUUUAGAAAUGUUUGGGAGAGGCCCAUGUUCAGCAGUGGACAUCCUGCGGCUGAUGACGAUGAUGAUAUAGAAUAAAGCCUCAGGUUAGUAAAUGCAGGAAUAUUUAUUAAUUACACAGUUUUUUAUAUUUACUUUUUCAGAUGUGGAGCGUUUGCUUGAAAAACAAAGGCCUAUAAAGCUUCAAUGUGGUACUGACAAAAGAUACCUAUAUGAUGCUACAAUAGGUGAUACAACAACUUUCUUACAAACCCUGAAGGAAGCUACGAAAAGCUAUAAGGAACAUUGUAUUGUAUAUUAAAAUAACACUAUAAGCGAACAUUUGAAUUGCUAUACCGAGGAGUAUUUGGAUUAUCCAGGUAGAUCAGGCUGUCAAAAAUUGCUUAGCAAAAAUAGACUUUGUUUAAUGCAUAAUAAAGUUACCCUGAAAGGGUUGCCUGCAGCCGCUUAUCUGUUGACAGUCAAGUGACGUAUGAACGACGUAAGGCUAUUUUUUUUAAAGUAUAUCGGUAAUGGCGUCUAAUAAAAUUAGGUAUGAACAUUAGCUCGAAAUUAAUGUAUAUCGAUAAAGACUAACCCCUAUAAUCAUAAACUUUCUUAUCUAAGGACGGAGUAUUGUUGUGAUAACAAGUUUGUUUCUCAGACAGCUUGCUGUUUGUUCAGCUUUAUUUAUCUGACAGCCAACUAGAUUAAAUCACAAUCACAACCGCUUUACGUCUACGUACUGCGAAGGCUGGCAUGCCGUCAGCACUGAGAAACAGACUUAUCACAGCAAUGCUCCUUAGAUAAAUAAUGUCUAUGAAUUAGGGGGUAAAUGUAUGAGUUACAAAGUAGGUAAUGUAUUUCGAGUGUCUUCAUGUAUAUUCAUUUAGGGGUUGACUGCACCAAGGACAGUGUUCAAGACUAAGUAUGGUCUUAUCAAAAAAAGUAUUAUUAUUAGAGAACUUUAAUCAGUGAUUAAAUGAAUCAAAAUUUUGUAUUUUCCGCUUCAUUGGCUUAAUGGAAUGAAAGUACUGAUUGUUAUUGAUGAGUGUGAAAAUGAACAGGGUAAUAAAAUCAGUAUAUUCGCUAAUAUUGUAAUAGAACAAUGUUUGUAAGAAAAGUCAAAUGAUUAUGGUGCUAAUAAAUUGAUUUUUAUUUUUUUAUGUA